ACGGCAAACCGGAGGGAAACCCCGGGACGCAAAGCAAGGGGGCUAAGGUUUCGACUAUGCCAGCCCGGCUGCCAA
rnacentral:ncRNA from 1 species